rnacentral:rRNA from 1 species
AGAGUUUGAUCCUGGCUCAGAUUGAACGCUGGCGGCAUGCCUUACACAUGCAAGUCGAACGGCAGCACGGACUUCGGUCUGGUGGCGAGUGGCGAACGGGUGAGUAAUAUAUCGGAACGUACCCUGGAGUGGGGGAUAACGCAGCGAAAGUUGCGCUAAUACCGCAUACGAUCUACGGAUGAAAGUGGGGGCUCGCAAGACCUCAUGCUCGUGGAGCGGCCGAUAUCUGAUUAGCUAGUUGGUAGGGUAAAAGCCUACCAAGGCUUCGAUCAGUAGCUGGUCUGAGAGGACGACCAGCCACACUGGGACUGAGACACGGCCCAGACUCCUACGGGAGGCAGCAGUGGGGAAUUUUGGACAAUGGGGGCAACCCUGAUCCAGCAAUGCCGCGUGAGUGAAGAAGGCCUUCGGGUUGUAAAGC